UACGUAGGGUCCGAGCGUUGUCCGGAAUCACUGGGCGUAAAGGGCGCGUAGGUGGCGCUCCAAGUCUGUGGUGAAAGCUCGAUGCUCAACAUCGAGUCGGCCAUAGAGACUGGAGGGCUCGAGCACUGUAGGGGCAGAUGGAAUUCCGGGUGUAGCGGUGGAAUGCGUAGAGAUCCGGAAGAACACCGGUGGCGAAGGCGGUCUGCUGGGCAGUUGC
rnacentral:rRNA from 1 species